UUUGCUCUCCUGCAGCAGUGGCAGCUCUCCAGGAGUCUCUCGGAUGCUGCCCUGGGCUGGGAAAGCUGCAGUGCUGCAGGGAGGGACGGAGCAGGGGGGCCCUGCAGGACGAUCCUUCCCACCGCUCUGCGCAGCUCCUCCUCCUCCUCCUCCAGCACCAGCCCAGGGUCGUUUGACCUCCUCCAUGUAGCACAUCCUCCAUCCCGACCUGACCCUCGUUCACGCCAGUCCUGUUUCUCUUCUCUGUCUCCCUGCCGCAGACAACGCCGUAUCGGGUUGCGUUUUGAGGCGGGCGGGCUGUUUUCAGCCUCCAUAGAAAAUCCAUUUAUCAUAUCAGCCUUACAUUAGCCAAAGUACAGGAGAUAAAAAUUAUCUUGGAAAUCUAAACAUAGAUUCUAAUCUAAGAUGAGGCCAAGUCUGUAUGAGCUUUACAACAGACAGUGAGACCUGAAGUGGCUGGCUCAAGUACAGGGCCUCUCCAGGGCUUUCUCUGCCUCAACCACCGUGGGUCAACCUCCAGGAAGGAAGACGUUUCUAAGGAAACCGUGGAGGCCUUCCACCAAGGUGGCUGCAUGAAAGCGCUGAGCUGGUGAGAGUGACAAAAAGCAGUUCAUUGGAUAACGUAGAAAAAGAAACCGAAACCCCCACCGGUGAACAACCCGGGUUUCUGGAUCCAAAGCCUGACAAGGGGAUUUGUAACACCAGCGAGCACAACGUCACCCAUCACAGAGGUGUCUCCUGAGCUGGCACCUUCCUGCUGCCAGGGAGCUGAAAACGGGAGGUGAACGAUGACACGAGCGGGAGAUUUUACCACUUUCCUGCUUCUAUGCAUAUCUACUGUGACUGAACUCCCUUUCUCCUAGACAAACUCCACCCUUAGGAACAUUAUGUUUUAUAAGAUGGGGUAACAGACCCACAGCACCUCUGUUACAGACCAGCUGUAGGAGCUGACCGUGGCUCUGAUCAUUGUGUGGUGACUCUGCAGCAGUGUACAAUGAACGAGGCAUUACCCCAGGCAAGCUCACCUUUACUGUUUCGGUUUUUCCUUUUCUGUUCUGAAGGUGAACUCUUGCACCCACGCAGAAUUCAAGGGGGUAAGAAAACGCAUCAACCGAGCUGAUAGAAAAACAGUCCAGAUCUAUGUGGGCAGAGAAAUAAUCUGCUUUGCAGAAGGGCUCAAGCAGAGGGUGGAAGAAAGAAGGAGAACAAGAAGGAAAGACAGACAUCUGCCAUGCAGCUCCGGCACUCGCAGCAGAAGCAACGUGUUUGUUCAGACCAGAGCACAUACUUGUUUACCCAAGCAGUGCUGCUGUCACAUGCCGCGCACCAAACAAAACUCUACAUCAAAGUCUCCGAGCACUUGCUAAGCAGCAAGCAUGACCGUUUGUCAUGUAAGGUUACAUACAUGCUAUUUCACAGUGGAAUGCAGUACGUUGUGCUGGAACACAGUGGCAGACGCCUCCAAACAUGCUGAAUGAUGGAGUGUUUUUGUGCUGGGGGAAAACAUCGGUUAGCUAUUACACUGUGACCAUCAGGCUUGCUUUUGUUUCUUAUUUAGGUCUCUCUGCUGAAGUUGUGACAUCACAACAUUUCUCACUUGCAAUCUCUUUUUAUAAUUAUAUAUAUAUUUAUCAGGAUGCACUUCAUACUGGCACCUUUCUUAAUGUCAUCUCUGUGGUUCACUGGCUCAGCCUCUGGAACAAGAAAUGGCCGAGCAGAUGUGUGUGUUCUGGGUGAAGAUCAUGAAGCCUGUAAAUUGCAAGCUUUCUUUAGGAGACAGCAUGUGGGUUAUUAUUAAAGCAGAAAACAUAUGUGAAUAAUUGAGGAAAAGGAUCCAGCAUUUAGCUCAGAAAAUGUGAAGUCAGCUUGCUGAGAAUAAUGUAUCUCUGCAUUUUGACCUGUUGCUGACAACAAAUAUAUUUCACUAUUACCUGGAUAGCAAUGAUUUUUUUAUUUUUUUUUCCCUCAUCUAAAUGAAAGCCAGUUGAGAGAAGCUGGCAACAGACAAAUGAUGCUCAUUCCACCCCUGCUUUUACUUAAUGGCUGAUAUCAAGAUCCUCAGCAUUCACUGGUGACAUUAGUAUUAAAAACAUAUUUCUUAUCUGGCUCUUUUAUUCCUACAAAUCGAGCAUGGAAAUAAAUCUGUGCUGAUGGAGCAGUGAGCACGCAGCCGUGGGAAGGAGGAGGGCUGGCCCCAGGCCAGAGCCCACCGUGCUCUGCACCUGCCUGGUGCUCACCAGGCAUUCUCUUCACCCAAGGACCUGCAAAAUCCUAACCCUUGAGGGACCCAAAUGCAAUGGACCCCAUGGAGGGGGUUCCAAACUCAAAGGAUAAACCCAAAAGACCCUGUUCAAGAUGACAUGGAGGGCCCCUCAGGUGGUUUCUCUCUGCUGGCAUUCUGGGAGCACCAGGGUGGUGGGCAGAUGAUGCUCGAGGGGAUUUGCAAUAUAUAUGUGUGUGGAUAUAUCAAUAUAUCCAUAUGUCAAUAAGUGGAUGCAAGAAAUAGCUAAGGGCAAAGUAACCCCUAGUAAAUUCUGUGUGGUUGUUGUUCUGAGCAGCAUUUGGUGCGUGCGUGAUAUAUGACCCACAAGCAUCAUCCUACCCGGAUCAGGUCUCUAGGAUUAAAAUUAUAUGAUGAAUUAAAAUUUCAUAUGAAAUUCUAGUUAAUUGAUCUGGUGAGUGCUGGAAAACAUUACUCCUUUUCCCUUUCAUCCCCAGAAAGGCUUUUAUUGGGGCAGAUGAGUAAGUGUUUCACAGUCUUUUCCAUUAUGGAGGAGGGAUUUUUAACCACAAGUGUGGAUGAGAAGAAAUGAAAUUUCCUUACCAGGUUGGCUUAAGGUACUAAAAAAUACCAUAAUGGUUUUUACUGUCAUAGAGGCAAGGUAGGACAACACAGCGAAUCAGAUGAAAUUUAAUGACAAGUGAAAAUGUCAGCGUUGUUUGCAUUAACCAAACAUGAGUUUGAGGUUAUGUUUCUCCUCCAGUUUAUCUGAAUUUCACUGUUUAUUUUAUUAUGAGUCCUUGGGGCAUGGACAAAGCUUUACCUGAUUAUCUGGAGCCAGCAAAGAAAGACAUAACUUCAGGCUUCUUAAGAUCUACAGAUGAGGAACUUUGGAGUCCCGGCAGUGUGUGCAGAAAUGAUCAGGUAACGGCCGUGGGGGAUAAGAGUAUCUGGUGACCAGUUCUAACAGUCACAGGAAAAAAAAACAACCUCCUAACGACACCACCUAAGGACCAAAUGGAAAAAGACAGAGGGCUGGAAGGGGAAGGAAAUCACAGAGUGCCUCUGUACUUGGUGCCAUGUCAGAGAUGGAUGGAUCCUGUUGGUUUUCUCUUUGCAAAAGGCUUAGGUAAGAAGAUGCUGGGUUGUUUAGCUGCAGGAGAUGCUGUGCACUGGGAGAGGAAUCUCAUCGCACUCUGCUCAGUGGAGGUGAGGUGUCUCUGGGCUUCAAAAGCAAACACUGAGAUAUUGAAGCCUCUGCUCUGCAAGCUGCCUGGGCUAGCAGGCAGUAACAUGUCCCUUCGCUUCCAGAAUUCCCCCAGAAAAUAAUGUGAUGUGGCAUCUUCUAUCACUGCCUUUUGCAUUCAGCUCUGCCAGGAUAACAUGGGUCAAAUUGAUCGUAUGAUACUGAUGAGGCCACCGGGUGAAGUUUGGGUGAAAACUGCUUCCAGAUUUAACACCAGCUUUGCCUUUGUACUCCAGCUGAAAGCACAACUGUAUAUUGCACGAGCAUAAGUAACGCAGGAAGGUACUAACCACUUUGGAGCCAGGGUUUUUAUGCAGUUUUUGUUUGUGAUAGUUUUAAUUUACUGCUGAAGUGAGUCUGAGACUGAUAAUUUUUAUGAUUUUUUACUGAGAAAAGACAUUAAGCUACUUACUUUGGCUGCACUUCCUACCCUGCAGAAAUUAUUUAUCCAAGCACAGCAGCAAAGUGGGUCAGGGGAAGGAUUAAAAAAAAAGAAGCUGCCCACAAAAAUCCUGAAUCCCUUGCAAAAGUUGGAUUAAGGCUCAAGAUACUGGAUAAAAACCACUUGCCACCUUCUCCAUUUCAAAGGCGAGGUGUCAGCUCAGGCAGUGACACAAAAAGGCUGCAGAGUUUGAGCUGCAAAAUCGCACUCCCAUGGUCUGCCAAGCUAGCCACAAAGCCAGCAACAGAGAGCAGGAUUCAUCUCUCAAAGCUGCUCUGCCACUACCUCAAAGGCAUGUAAAUUCCAAGGAGCGAGUCGCUUCCUUGACUCCAUGAAAACAGGGCAAAGAAAGUGCUUGGGAAAUGUGGGUGAGCAUCAGUGCCCAUGAGGAAGAGGGGUGGAGAAAGGAAGAGAAAGCUUUUUCUUCCUUUUUUCCUGUGUUUUCUACCACUCAAGCUGAGCUCAAGUUGCAAAAGACAAGCAACCUAGGAUUGAAACACGAGAGGAGCAUGCGGGCUGCCCAACAGCUUCCAGUAGCUCAAGGCUGCAGCAAAACCUUGGGGCAGCUUUGUGCUCCAGGAAAAGUCGUCGUGGUGCAGCUGGGAGGGCUGCAAACCACCUCCACCUCCUGUGCAGGCAAAGCAGGUGAUAGCAUUGUCGGGGGAGCCCCUGGACCAAGGAGGUGAGACAACCACGGUGGGAUUUUCAAAAUCACUCCGAGCAGAAGGAAGUCUGAUCUCACUGAGGUUCAUCAGAGUUUUAUUCCCGGUAUCAGUGGGAGCAUCAUUACUGGUGGUAGAGGCAGGCAGGGUAUGCAUGGGGACAGUGUACACCGGAUGGGAUGCAUCCGGGCAGGCUGGAUGUGCUGUCUGCAGGAUCCCAGCCCUGCCAGGAAAUCUGGCCUUGAUUAAGCCAACAAAGCUUGUUCUUACGAGUGACACCGUCAGCGGCCUCUGUGGGCUAUGUGGGCCAUCUCAGACAGCCCUGUGUUUGCUGUCCUCCUCUCCUCAGGCUCCAGGAAAUGUCUCCAAAUGCCAAGCCCACGAGUGGAAAAGGAGGAUUGGACCUUCAGCUGGAAAUGCAGGUAACUCUAGGGCAAGGAGACUGGUGUUUGCAAAAUAAAAUUCCAGAAUGACUCCAGAUUGCCCUGAUGAAAGCCAGAUUUGUUGCCUCACUUCCAUGUAAGUCAGCUGUUAGGCUGCUCCUUUUCCUUAGGUGUUUCUAUGGCUACUUAAUGAAGCCCUCCCAGCAGCUUCUCACUUGAGAAGUAGGAAUUUGGACAAGUUUGAAGAGCCCUGGGAGGGGGGCAGGGGGUAGAGGGGGAAUAGCCGAGUAAAUCUGGCUUCCCCUCUGAUCAUCCAUCUGCCUUUCCCGACACAAUAGACAUGCUUUUGGUUUCCAUGAAGUGAUUGGAACCAGAGGUGAGACCUGUGGCAAACUGGAAAACAUCGCUCGGCUCAUCCCAUGCGAGCUUUCCUCACCGAAACGUUUCAAAACCAAGCCGUGUGGCACGGAGCCGCCUCAGAUUGCUCACAGAUGUCAGGAUGAAGCGAAGAAGUUCAUAUCCGGCUGUGAGGGAAAGGUCACCGAGGAGCACAGCUCGUGGCAGUCUCCGCAGGCCCACCAGACGUGACGAAAGGGACAUUUGCCACGCAGGCAGCACAUUUUGCAACUCCAACUUCUGCUAGGGCGAGGCUAGGUGUAAGUGUGUACUCAACCUUAGCCACCCUCUGCCUUCCCAAGUGUUUUCCCCAAGUCUUUUUUCCCCUGACUUUUUUGAAGAUCUUCAAGGUGGCUGAUGUGUGACGUGGCUGAUUGUGCAAACGCGGCGUGGCAGACGGUCCACGUGGGAACACGUGCAGCUGGAGGAGCCGUGGGGUUAUACAUUUUGCAGUGUUUGGACUGUUUGUGUGCGUAGCCUGAGUCAGCAGGCUGUGUUUUCUCCCAGGCAAGAAGAGAUAUUUCAUGCAAGCUUCGCCAUCCUGUUCUCGUUUCCUGUGUAUAAGAAAUGACCUGAAGGCGGAGAAGGAGACAAUGCAGAAAACUGCAGCGUGUGAAGGGCACAAAUAAGCCAGGAACAUUUCAAAACAAAGCUUUUCAUCAUCUGACUUAUUUAGCAGCAGAAGAGUUGGGGAAAAGGAGGGGGUUGCUGGCCUGCUGUGGAGACACUGGGAUCCAGCAGGGAAAGGCAGUUGUCACUUAGCCACAGCGAGGAAGAGGAAGCCAAAUCUUCCUGCUGGAGCAGCAUGUGCACUGCUCUGGGGCUGGGUGAUGCUUGGGGCAGGGUGACCAGCUGGAGAGAGGCUCUGCUCAGCCCUGCAGGGUUAUGCAAGCAAGUGGCUGCUUCUGUGCACCAGGAAGGCAAAGAGGUCCCAUCGCCACGGCCGAUACGUGUCCUGGAUCAUCCCCUGCACAAGGGUUUGUGGAUUCGUUCCUGAAGCCUGUCCUGAAGACAGGGGUUCAGGAGAUUUGAAGACCACCGAGUGCCUGUGCCUCUGCCAAAGCAGCAUAUCCACAGCACUGUGGGUGGCACCUGUCACCACUGCUGUUCCUGAUAUUAAUCUCAGCACCCCUCCUCCUUCCACUGCAUGCACGAAUCCUUUAAAAAUCCAGUUUUCAGGACAUACACAUUCUAUUUUCUAUAAACAAAACAACUUAAAAAACCCAUUCAUGACAUACAUCAGCGAAGCACUUUCCAUUCCUAGAAGUUACUCUAUAAAAUUCAGCUCAGCGUUUGAGGGUCUAACUAUCUAAAAGGCUAACACACAGCCUGACUUUGAGCCAGUCAAAGCUCAACACCUCUGAAAACUCAGCCUCGACUCCUCUGGGAAGCAGAAGUUGAACAGGCCACAUGCGAGCUACCGGAGUCCUCCUCUGGAGGAGAUGCAGAGCUGCUAUCUGGAUCACACAUGGCUGGGACCAUCCUGGUGGAGGCUUGCAGGGCUGUGUGUUUCACCCCGGUAGUCUGGUCUGAAUUUCAGCCAGGAAUUCAUGUUACCGAGGUCUGGAGCUGACCUCUUCUGCUGGCAAAACUUCACCCCAUCAGCGACUCCUUCAGUAUUUUUACCCUUCUUCUUGUAUGUGCCUGUUUCGAGAGUACUACAGAUCAGGAACUCUUCCUCGGAUGAAUUGCUCCAUGCCCGGAAUUUGUCGCUGCUUUGGGUCAACAGAAAAAAUGACUCCAAACAUUCAUCAUCAUUAUCGUAAUUAUUACUGUGAUUGCUGCUCUUUGCCAGCAGAAGUUUCUCACCAAGUAAAUACCUGAUAAACUACCAAUAAAUAUGGUUUGCUUCCUGUUUAAAAAAAAUAAUUUCCAACAGGAAUAGCACGUAUUUCUUGCUAACUUGGCUGGUGUGGGCUCAGAGCCGUGUCCACGUGAAUAAGUGGCACACUUGUAUGAGUACCAGCACCAGGCUCUGUAUAACGCGAGUGAAAACAGCAAAAGGUAAGCGGGAAAUAGAUGUCAGCAGUGCUUCUAAUCAUCAUGGGCCUCCUCUGACACAUGUUUUUAAUUAUUAAAAAAAAAAAAAAAAAAGGAAAUAAGAGAAAUAAAACCAGUUAUGAAUAAUCUAAUAAGCUUACCAACCACCUGCGAAUUGUGGCUUCCCAGCUGCACAAAAUCAGAUGCAGGAAUAUAAAACAGAGCAUUCUCCGAGGCAACACACAUUCACAUUAGAUGCACGUAAUGCCAAAGCUGCAGAAGAAAAACGCAUUAAUGCCAUUUCUGGCUCGUGGUGCACAUGCCACUCUGUAAAAGUAUCUUGGAGGAGUGUUUAUGUAAGAAACAGAGAAUCUGCUUUAAAGUCAAAGGUGGAGGGGGGGAAGAUGGAAGCGGGAAACCUGCUCUCUGGCAUCAUUUCAAAUGAAAAAACGACAUCAUCAACAAAGUCCCACAUAGCAUUAAUUUGAGGGAUUGCAGUCCAGCAAGCAAAAUUACUCAAGAAUAAUUAAGCAUGUUUCCUUGGUAUAAAGAUAUUCAGAAGUAGGUGCUCAAGCAGAGUUUGAGGCGGCUUUAUUCAAGAAGUAAUUUGUUUUCCCACUAUGAAAAGAGGGUUAUGUUCACUUCAUUCUGGAGCCUCCCAGCAAACGUCCUCACGAUGCUAUUUUUCAUGGGAAAGAGCUGUUUCAUGGAGGGAAAAAGGUAACAUCCUGACACGGAGGGAAAAGAAGUGAACUGUAUUUCCAAGGCCGUUUUGACAUGUUUUCCUUCUGCACAGAACCAGACUUCAAAUACAGCUUCUUAACCACGACAGCUAAGUGACCCACCCAGAGAACUCUUUUUCCACAAACAAUAUAACGUCAGGAGAAGGAGUCUGAGAGGAAAAGCAAACAGUCCUUAAAGCAACUACUUUAUUUGGAUAGUUCUGAACCACUGGCGUUGGGGGCAGGUUUUAAGUCGGUGGGUGUGAGGAGAGGAAAGCUCAUGGUUUUGAUUUGAAGUAGCCACAUCAAACCCUGUUUCAGUGAAUGGAAUGGCAGUAUUUUGAAAAAUACAUCCUUCUUAAGGGGAUGUUAGGAAAAACAAUCCCAGGGCCUGAUGAAUGACAAAAGCCAACAUGUUGGCUGAGGGGAAAAAAAAGUGCCUGGAAGUGAGAUAGUUGGAGAAAUGCAAGGUGUACCUUCCCUGGUCAGAGCAAUACCUGUUUUGCAAAGAAAAUCGUCUAGCAUCUCUUGCAAUCUUCUAGCCUUUGACUUCAGCUUUCCCAUGCACUCCUGAUAACCACAUUAUAAACCUACUCUGUGUUUUUUACGGUGAUGGAGUCUCGCUUCCCAUGCUACCAGAACAUUACACCUCUCCCAGAUGGCUGCUCUGUGGCCCAAAGGAGACUUUAUUAUUAUUAUUUGUGAACAACUUUGAACAUUUCCACGGGUGAAGAAAAGCAACGUGAGACUUCAGGCAGCUAUUCUGCUUUUCUGGAGGCUUCUGGGAAAGCACGGGAGGCAUGCAAAGAGCAGCAAAGGAUGAAGGAUGGGUGGCAUCCUUAUCAAAGUCCAAGAGUGGGGCAGGUGGCCAGAACAGCCAAGAGACCACAAAUCAGGGCUUUUUCCAACAGGCCAGGAAGUUUCUGGCAGAGGUAUUGAGAAAUCAGCAGUGCACUUCCAAGAAGGUUUCUGAGGUCUGGAAAUGUGUUUUCAUUCUGGUGUGGAACAAGAACCAAACUUUUCAAACCCCAAAAUGUUUUUUGUUGUUGUUGUUGAUGAUGUUAUUGUUGCCAUUGAAACAUCUGUUUUCAGAGUGAGAAGAUCAGGGUUCUCAUUUAGAUCCUUCUCCACUUAUAAAUUGACCCCAGAAACUCUGAAAACUUUCCCAUGGAAAUAUUAUUAGUGGGACUAUUUCACUGUGAGACAUUUUGGUUUGGAUGAAGCAGCAUUUUCCAGCAACAAUGACAACAAAUCUUAUUAAAAUUUUUGAGUUUCUCCA